rnacentral:rRNA from 1 species
GAGUUUGAUCGUGGCUCAGGACGAACGCUGGCGGCGUGCCUAAUACAUGCAAGUCGAGCGGAUCUUCAUUAGCUUGCUUUUGAAGAUCAGCGGCGGACGGGUGAGUAACACGUGGGCAACCUGCCUGUAAGACUGGGAUAACUUCGGGAAACCGGAGCUAAUACCGGAUGAUCCUUUUCCUCUCAUGAGGAAAAGCUGAAAGACGGUUUCGGCUGUCACUUACAGAUGGGCCCGCGGCGCAUUAGCUAGUUGGUGAGGUAACGGCUCACCAAGGCGACGAUGCGUAGCCGACCUGAGAGGGUGAUCGGCCACACUGGGACUGAGACACGGCCCAGACUCCUACGGGAGGCAGCAGUAGGGAAUCUUCCGCAAUGGACGAAAGUCUGACGGAGCAACGCCGCGUGAGCGAUGAAGGCCUGGUCGUAAGCUCGUUGUCAGGGAGACGAAGUAUCGGAGUAACU